AGAUCCGCCUUUUCUGCCGAACUGGCUUCUUCGAUGGAUCUACGUCUAAACGAUGCUCGACGAUUCUUCUGCUGAUCUCAGGCAUAUCUUGUGGUUCCCAUGUAAAGAUGUAUGCAUAGCAUCGAAGAAGUUCCAUGAGAUUUGUCCGGAGAGGUUUUGGCAAACCCAAACCAAUCUUCACUGUCUUAUCCUUCUUUCCCAGGACCAACUCAAUCUCCUAUGUCUCCCC
rnacentral:lncRNA from 1 species